rnacentral:lncRNA from 1 species
CUUCCUUUUUGCCUGCAGAACCUCCAGCUCCACUCAGCUCCUGGGGCUCAGCCAGCAGAGCUGUGCAGUGGAAAGGAAUCCACCUUGGAACAGGAUCCCUGGCUUUACCACUUCAAUUGCUGAGUGAUCUCCAGCUAGUUAGUUUCAGCCUAUUUCCUCAUGUGAAAAAUUGAGGUAAAAAUACUUGGAAAUAUUGUUGUAAAGGUUAAGUAACGUAAGAAAAAUGCCUGGAACCAUGUCUUCCACCAAAGUAGGUAGGGGCUCAACAAAUAUUGAAUUGAUUCAUAUGACAUUGCCAUUUAUAUAGGUCAAAAAUGGCCAAAUAUUGACAAUUUCAUAUGGUUCAACCUGCCAUCAGCCUAUUACUCAAGCACCUAAGAAAUCAGUGUCCAAUUGGUUGGAGUAUUGGGUACAAACAAGGUAGAACCUUAGAGGUAGAACCCCAGUGUUGACUUUUAUUUACAUUAUCAAAGAAUCAAGGAAGGCCAGCACCCUACUAUGCACUUUAAAUUCUGGAAGAUUUUCUUCACUCUUAGCUAGUUAAACAAAGCCGAUUUAAGAGACAGGAUAAAAUUGUGGUUUAGAGCCUAGACUCUGGGGAGAGAUUGUCUGGGAUUAAAUUCCAGCUCUGCUACUGACGAGCAUUGUGAAACUGAGCAAGUUUGUUAAUCAACCUGGGUCUCAGUUUUGUUCCCCGUGACAUAGGAUAUUACAGGGUGUUGUGCAGAUGAAAUAAGUUAAAACAUGUAACAUUCUUAGAAUCUGGAAGUGUUAACGAUCAUUAUCUUGAUUUAAAAUAGGUGGUUUGGCCUGACUAGUUAGUGAAAUCUCUUUCACAACAAAGCACCCAUUGGGUAGAAAUCAGAACUCCAGCAAUGGAGAAUCAGCCUCCCCUUGUUGAUCAGUCCCAGUUUAGCAGCUGGGAUACUCCUUGGGAAGCUCAAAGAUGGUAGGUGUCACCACCCAUGAUAGCUCAGUGAGAAUCCACCCAGCCAGUGAUGAGUGCUUCAAGGGU